rnacentral:rRNA from 1 species
CAUAGGUUAAUGAGGCGAACCGGGGGAACUGAAACAUCUAAGUACCCCGAGGAAAAGAAAUCAACCGAGAUUCCCCCAGUAGCGGCGAGCGAACGGGGAGCAGCCCAGAGCCUGAAUCAGUGUGUGUGUUAGUGGAAGCGUCUGGAAAGGCGCGCGAUACAGGGUGACAGCCCCGUACACAAAAAUGCACAUACUGUGAGCUCGAUGAGUAGGGCGGGACACGUGGUAUCCUGUCUGAAUAUGGGGGGACCAUCCUCCAAGGCUAAAUACUCCUGACUGACCGAUAGUGAACCAGUACCGUGAGGGAAAGGCGAAAAGAACCCCGGCGAGGGGAGUGAAAAAGAACCUGAAACCGUGUACGUACAAGCAGUGGGAGCACGCUUAGGCGUGUGACUGCGUACCUUUUGUAUAAUGGGUCAGCGACUUAUAUUCUGUAGCAAGGUUAACCGAAUAGGGGAGCCGAAGGGAAACCGAGUCUUAACUGGGCGUUAAGUUGCAGGGUAUAGACCCGAAACCCGGUGAUCUAGCCAUGGGCAGGUUGAAGGUUGGGUAACACUAACUGGAGGACCGAACCGACUAAUGUUGAAAAAUUAGCGGAUGACUUGUGGCUGGGGGUGAAAGGCCAAUCAAACCGGGAGAUAGCUGGUUCUCCCCGAAAGCUAUUUAGGUAGCGCCUCGUGAAUUCAUCUCCGGGGGUAGAGCACUGUUUCGGCAAGGGGGUCAUCCCGACUUACCAACCCGAUGCAAACUGCGAAUACCGGAGAAUGUUAUCACGGGAGACACACGGCGGGUGCUAACGUCCGUCGUGAAGAGGGAAACAACCCAGACCGCCAGCUAAGGUCCCAAAGUCAUGGUUAAGUGGGAAACGAUGUGGGAAGGCCCAGACAGCCAGGAUGUUGGCUUAGAAGCAGCCAUCAUUUAAAGAAAGCGUAAUAGCUCACUGGUCGAGUCGGCCUGCGCGGAAGAUGUAACGGGGCUAAACCAUGCACCGAAGCUGCGGCAGCGACGCUGAUGCGUUGUUGGGUAGGGGAGCGUUCUGUAAGCCUGUGAAGGUGUGCUGUGAGGCAUGCUGGAGGUA